CAACUACUCCCUCUGUCCCAAAUUUCUUGUCUUAGAUUUUUCUAGAUACGGAUGUAUCUAAUACUAAAAUGUGACUUGAUACAUCCGUAUCUAGACAAAUCUAAGACAAGAAUUUUGGGACGGAGGGAGUACUUU
rfam:Triticum aestivum genome assembly, contig: Triticum_aestivum_CS42_TGACv1_scaffold_526662_6DL